UUUUAACAAGGUCACUAGUUCUGAGUGCAGUAUUAGUGCACAUAGCAAGGGAUCAGAGCAGCAGCAGAGGCACCACUUUGGACGUCAUUGCUGUAGUGCCUGAAUUCAUCUUCAAACUCCCGAACUUCAAAACUCCCACACAUACAGGCCUAGUGAGCCUCAUCAGGUGCACCUAGCAGGCAGAAGAAUGUCCCGUAUGUAGGCACAAGUUUGAUGUCUUGGCAGCGAAUUGAUAAGGCUUGAAGCCAAGAGAUCGCCCAGAGUGUUGGGUGAACAAGAGGAGGAUAGGACUAGGGACAGAAACUGUGUCCUGGCAAAGGGACAAGAGCAUAUGGAGAAGCUAAGAAGAAAGCGUUAGUCCAGGAAAUAAUUAGAUUCAAGAAGGAAGGUGUGUUUACAAAGUCAACUGAGGCAAACGGUUAAUAAGACAAGGAUUGAAAACGAUCAUUUUGUUUUGCAACUGGGAGAUAACGGGCGCCCUUGACAAGGGUGGUUUCCGUGGAGUGGUAAGGCUGAGCAGUGACUGGGCAGUGAAGGCGGGAAGACAGCAAGCAAGACAAACUGCUCAACUAAUGGGGCCAUGAAAUGAAGAACAGUGAUAGGGUAAUCACCAUUGGAUCAAAGGAGAGCUGGCCUUUUGAGAUGAGCAUGUCUAUAAACUGAAGAUAAAAGCCAGUCAGGUGUGAUUGGGUGUCUUAGACAUGCAGGACAAUCAUUCAUCCAUUCAUUCACUUGUUCAACAAGUAUUCAUAAUCUAUCAAGAGUCAAACACUGGGCAUACACAGAUAAAUAGAAACAUGAUCCAUUCCAUCACCUUGGAACUACAGACACAUGUAUAACUAUACAAGAGUACAAAGUGAGGGGAGCAGUAGAGAUGGUUGUAAAUGCCAGAAGAAUCUAUUAAUUGUGCCUGUGGGGAAAAAGGGAAACAGUAAG
rnacentral:lncRNA from 10 species